CACUUGAGAGAAAUGUGUAUUCUGCAGUUUGGAGAAACAUACCUCCUACUUGGACAUGAUCUCUCCAGAGAUCAUUCAAUUGCUGGCCACUGCCACUCCAGGCCAGCCCCUGCAUCAAGUUCCACAAGACAUUGGCCAUCAAUCCUGCCAGCCUGCUGCCUAAUGAUGACCAGAAGAAUCCUCUGCAGGACUGCCUGGAGGCUCUGCAGUCUGCCCAGAAGGCCAUCCAUAAACACAUUUGCGAAGCCCUGCCUAUGCCCACCUCAGACCUUGUGCAACCUUUCCAUCCUGGGGACUCAAU